ACAACUUUCAACAACGGAUCUCUUGGCUCUCGCAUCGAUGAAGAACGCAGCGAAAUGCGAUAGGUAAUGUGAAUUGCAAAAUUCAGUGAAUCAUCGAAUCUUUGAACGCAUCUUGCGCUCCUUGGUAUUCCAUGGAGCAUGCCUGUUUGAGUGUCAUUAAA
rnacentral:rRNA from 1 species